AGGAGAGGGAGAGAAGGGGCCUUGCUGUGACUUGGAUAUGGCCUGUCCCAGAAGGGAAGCUGGGAAACGACUAGAAGCGUGGCCCCAGGUGUGGAAGUGGGUGGGUGUAAACCUUCAAGAGGUGAGGCCCAGGGAAGGUGAUUAGGCCACAGGCUCCACCCUGAAGAAGCAAUCAGUGCUCUCGUGGGGUGGGUGGGGCCUCGCUGGAAGGAGUUAAGUCUGCCCAGACCAGAUUGUUAAAAAGAGAGGCGACGGCUGCUCCCUUCAUCCCUUCUGUGCUUGGCUUGCUCCCUGUCUGCUUCUCAACCAUGCUGAGAUGCAGCCAGAGGCUCUUGCCAGGACGCCGGUGUCAUGCCAUUUGGACCCUCCAGCCACCAGAAUUGAUGUACCUGGGGAAUGUGUGAGAAAAGGAAUGAAAAAGGGAAUGGCCUUUUGGAGGGGGGAAUCAAUUUUGACCAGCUGACACUGGAUAAGUCAAUUUUGGCACCAGAUCUUCUUAGGAUGAUGUGAGAGCCCAGGUUCUCUGGACGGUGGGUGAGGACAUGGACCAGGGAGCUCACACCCCACAGCUUAGCUAAGUGACCCCCAGGAAAUGCUGGGGAAGAAGAACUAACAAAACCUGGGGGCACUCUUAUGGAUCCACGCCAAACAUAUCAGGGACUACUUCCAGAUGAUGUGGACUGUACACAAAGCUCGGAUGAAUCUCUUUCCAUGGGCACAUGUGACAAAUGACCUCCAUCUACAGAGUCCCCCUCCACUCUCCUCCAGUCAGUGUUCAGUUCAGAAGUGCUCAUCUCACUGCUUUCUCAGUCUCAGUUCACUUCCUCCCUGAUGGCAUGUGCCAUGAUUUCUAAUUAUCAUAUAUAUACACGAAUGGCUCCCAGCCCCAAAAACUCUUCGGUGAUAGGGAUUUUGUCUCCUUCAACUUAUCACCCAAGUGCCAAGUCUUGGGUCUGGUAAACACUAAAUACUCAGCCACUGUAGGCGCUGAAUAAAUGAUUUCAACUUGCAUGAGAAACAGAUGCCUACUAAUUUCUGGAUUAGUUGUUGGUGGUCAGUGGCAAGCCCCCUUCUAAUUUUGUCCCUCCAUUGCUGUGCAGAAAUCCUAUCUGGAUUUUGUAUUAGAUAAAUGGCCUUUGCCUGUGAAAACUCUAACCCAGGCCCCAGUGAAGCUCUUUUGAAAGACAGCCAUCUCAAAAGAAGAGGAACCCAUCGAGCAGAAGUCUACAAACCAUCACAUACCACUAGUGACCGAGUCAAGGGUGGACAAGCACCUUCAAUCAGACCCAGCCUCCAUGUUGAAAUAAAGGAAUUCAAAAUUGUGCUUCUAAAACCCUUUCCCUGUUACCUCCAAUGUCCACCUCCUUAAAGUGGAAGAAAAAACAAAUUGGAUAAUACUUUUUACUUUCAAAGAAUGGAUGAGAGACAAA